UUCUUACUCGUGUACAUUGGUGAUGUGGCUGUGAGAUGUUACGUGUCAGGGUCACGUGAAAUAUUCAGUGUUAGUGUGGACGGCUGUAGGUUAUUUAUAGUUUUUAAAAUUGAUUGGUGGAAGUUUAAUAUAUAGUAUCAUUGAUUGGUGUUAAGUUUAAUAUAUCGUAUCAUAAUUUGAUAUUAUAGGAUGCACCCUGUUUGAUAAUUGGUCAUUAAAUAGAAGCAUCAGUUAGGGAAGUCUUGCAUGUACCCUAUUGUCUGUGGAUCAUAUCUCGCUCUGUAUGUAGUGCGAAGUGUUCCUUGGACAGAGACAUCUGCAUGCUGACCUAUUUGGGCCCCAUAUUUAAUGACCAAAUGUUCGAAUAUCAACAGUAAGUCCACUUAUUACUUUAUGCAAGGAUUUUGAUACCAUUCAGUAGGCUGCCACGCGAUAUGGCUGAGAGAAGAUUGACUAAUGAAAUAUAAAUAUGCUAACCACAAAAAGUGCAAUUUUUUUUUUUUUUGUAAAUUAGGGAAUUGUUUUAUUUUGAUUUGCAGUAGAGUAUAGAACACGGAAAGAUAAAUAUCCUGUGUUGAGCCUGAGCAUUUGUUUUUAGUUGGGUGUCACUUGCAGUUACGGAUAGUUAAUGGAUGCUUUUAAGCAGAAAAGUUUUUAUUUCAACACAACUAGCAUGGAACCUCCCACCAAAACCUAUUGAUUUGGUUUUUUAUUUUUUUGUUAUGAAAGGAAGUUUAGCUGAAUGGCCAGCGUAGGAUUCAUUUAAUGGAAAAUAGGACAAUUUAAUAAUGGAAAAUGGUAUGUUAUUUAGCAAUGGCCGUGGUGUGAAGGUUGGAUAGACAAUUCAUUUUUUUUUAUUAUUUGAGAAUGAAGUAUUUGCUUUGACAAUAAGAAACUAAUUUUUAAUCCACUUUUAAUUUAUGAAGAAAAGGUUAAUUUAGAAACUUGUAUCACUGUAAGUAGCAAUCAGUAAUAGAUAAUUAUUAAGUUUGGUGUAUUUUCGAGCGAUAUAAACAUCAGUGUAGUUGGAGGAUUCAUGUUGAAGGGUUGUAAGCUGUUAGGGAUAGCAUGACAUGGCUUAUUCUGUGUUAAUCAUCUCAGACUUUUUCCUAUAAGUAUGUGUAGUUAUGCAUUAAUCAUCGUAGACAUUUUCCAUAAAGUAUAUGUAGUUAUACUUUAUGUAUUCUCGUGUAUGGUCAACAGUCAUAAGUCAAUUUUGACUAAAAAAAAAAAAAAAAUUGUAAACCAUGGUUUUUUGUAUGCCAUUUUCUGGCCACCUAAGGCUGGAAAGAUGUACUAUCAGAAUAAAAUGAAAAUGGCAAAGGAUAAUCUUGAGUAUCAUUUUGGUUACCUUUUCAUGUUUUGUGAACGGUUUAGUUAAUGAUUUCCUUUUUACAGCAGUUGCUGUGUUCGCAUGUCGAAUGGCAUGGACAACGCCUCCCUCCCCAGGCCAUCGGGAACCAUCCCUAGCACUGAUUUGGUUUAGUACUCUGCAGCAACGAGUCUGUUGACACCGCACUGGUUAAGAACUGCAAUCCUACAUACCUUUUUAUACUCAAAAUGUAUAUCUUGAGGAAACUUGAAAUAUUGGUACAAGAGUUUAACAGUGAAUACAAUACUCCCGAAACCAUAUUACUCCUUGCAGUGUGGUGUUACGAUGGCACCUGUACAUACUGCGCAGCAAAGGUUCUUCUCAAACUGAAACUGAACACUACAUCCCUACUACCCCCACAGCAGCAGCCGUCACCCAUGCCCUUUGUGUGACUGGUAGAUGUAUCAUUCAUUUUAGUUAACAACUUGCUUUCUGGAGAGAAUUUGAUAAUCUUAUACAGUACAGUGUCUUGGCAAUAUUUGGGUUAGAUUGUAAUUUUUUUUUUCUUAUUUACCAAGAUUGAGCAGUAUGAAUGUUGAAUAUGGAAUUUUCACCACUUUCAUCUCAUCCUCAAAACUUUCUUUUAUACCAUCCCAUGGCUAUGCUGUGACGACAUGCAACCUGUAUGGCCCACCACCUGACUCAAGAAACUGCUUCUGUUCCGAUUGUGAGCACAAGUUUAGUUGAGGUAUGGGGAGGGGUUUGGUAUUUUCAUUUGUUACAGCCAAUUGGUUUUGUUGCCUGACUUAUCUCAACGCUUAGUGGCUCAGGUUUUUUGUCAUCUGUGCACUCAUUAAGGACUGUACAGUUGAUUAGCAUGAGUUAAUAUAAAAUAUAUUCAUGCCCAGUAAUUCUGAUUAAUAGUGGCUUAUUGAUUAUUAAUUUAUAUUUUAUAUAUUAAUAAGAAACUUCAGAUUGUCCAGAUUUGGUAAGCAUUUGACAGAGUGAACAGUUUCUCUACAGUAACUGAUAUUCAAGUUUUCCAUAAAAUCACGAUUUAGUUCAUGUUUAUCCAUAACAGAAUCAUGAGAUAAGUUUAAUGGUAAGCUGCUUAGACUAUGAGUGAGAAUUGCUCUACACUUAGCUGAUAAUUCAUGUUAUUUCAUAUGAAAAUCACGACUUGAAUUAACUGUAACAUGCCUAGACUUUCAGUAUAAGCUUUCUGGAAAGUAGUAGUCAAAGUAGCAUGAUUGUAUCAUUGUAUGAGAUUAAAUGUAUGUUCAGGUAGUGAACUUGCUUGGGAAAAGUUGUAAGAGGUAGGACAGUCUUAUUAUGGAAUGCCCAUCUUACUCUUUCUUUUUACCCCAUGCUCUUUCAUAUUCAACCUGAGCCCUGGGUGCCGAUAGAUUUGCAGUUACCGGAAUAGAAAUUCGCAGCUGUCAACGAGGUAGAGGAGUCUCCAGAUACGUAUAAGCAAGUGAUGUGUCAUUGUCCAGAAACAAGAGUGGUGUUAAGCACAACUGAUGGUGCAAUUGCAGACGGCAAGGGGUCCUCUGCAACAUCUUAUAGUUCUGCUAAGUUUCCAAUGAAUAAAAAAAAAAUAGGUUGGCUGCAAAGGGUCCUGAGGAUAUCAUUUCCCGUCAAGGUACUCCAGUAGUCGGUAGUGGAGCCACAGGCAAGGGGUCCUGUGUCCUGGCUGUUUCAUGUACAUCUUGAAGGGUCAACUGCAGUCCCUGAGUGUUGCAAGGUAUUUUUUAAAGGAAAUUUUCUUACAGAACAUGCAAUUUUUUAUUUUUUUUUUGAGGAAAAAUUUUUUUUUUUCAAAGGCAAUAUAAACCAUCCAGACUUUUCUCUGUACUACUAAAGGUACUUUAAACUUUGCAUUUAUCCUAUUCUACAAUGCUGAAUGUAAUUGAAAUUGUCUUUUAUAAUCAUUCACUUGUACCAAAACAAAUGGUCAAAGGAGGUAAGGGGUUUGGGUUGGGUUGUGAAAGUUUGUUACAGGUUCUGACGACUACGUGACAAGUUGGUACGCUGUCCUUCAGCGAGUUGGACAGGAGUUGAUGGGUAACAAAGAUUCGAAAUGCAGUGAGUGAGGUUCUUGAACUACUACAAAGGUGUCAGAGGAUCACUAGUUCCCACAGAAUUGCGAUUUGACCUGCGCACUACCUAGUUUGUGUACCGGUUUUGAAAGUGCUUUGCGGUUUGACAAGAACACUUUGGGGCGCAUGUAAGUUGAAUGAUCCAACCAAAAUAAACUAGAUCAAUGGAAGCCUGUAAUGCUGUUAUUUCAUUUUUU